AGCUCAUUAGUCCUAAUCUUAAUUAUUUCAUUAUUGCUGGCACUUCAAUGGUCUUUCUCUCAAUAUUUUUACAAAUAUUUCCAUUUGAUACCAGCGAUGAAGAAAGAUUUAAAAAAACUUGACUCUUACUCUGCUAUAUUUCAUUGUACCUUGAUUUCAUUGGAUACACAAUUGCUUUUGGAACCAUCCUGUCUAAAAUGUGGAGGAUAUAUUACAUAUUUCAUAAUCCUUCGCCAAAUAAAAAGAUACUCACUGAUUGGCAUUUGAUUGGUCUAAUUCUAUUAAUAACUGCUGGCAUGGUUGCUAU